UGGGGAAUUUUGGACAAUGGGCGCAAGCCUGAUCCAGCCAUGCCGCGUGUCUGAAGAAGGCCUUCGGGUUGUAAAGGACUUUUGUCAGGGAAGAAAAGGCUGUUGCUAAUAUCGACAGCUGAUGACGGUACCUGAAGAAUAAGCACCGGCUAACUACGUGCCAGCAGCCGCGGUAAUACGUAGGGUGCGAGCGUUAAUCGGAAUUACUGGGCGUAAAGCGAGCGCAGACGGUUACUUAAGCAGGAUGUGAAAUCCCCGGGCUCAACCUGGGAACUGCGUUCUGAACUGGGUGACUAGAGUGUGUCAGAGGGAGGUAGAAUUCCACGUGUAGCAGUGAAAUGCGUAGAGAUGUGGAGGAAUACCGAUGGCGAAGGCAGCCUCCUGGGAUAACACUGACGUUCAUGCUCGAAAGCGUGGGUAGCAAACAGGAUUAGAUACCCUGGUAGUCCACGCCCUAAACGAUGUCAAUUAGCUGUUGGGCAACUUGAUUGCUUAGUAGCGUAGCUNACGCGUGAAAUUGACCGCCUGGGGAGUACGGUCGCAAGAUU
rnacentral:rRNA from 1 species